CCCUUAGAUGUUCUGGGCCGCACGCGCGCUACACUGAUGAAUUCAACGAGUAUUAACCGUCCUUGGCCGGCAGGCCUGGGUAAUCUUGUGAAAUUUCAUCGUGAUGGGGAUAGGUGCUUGCAAUUAUUCACCUUCAACGAGGAAUUCCUAGUAAGCGCAAGUCAUCAGCUUGCGUUGAUUACGUCCCUGCCCUUUGUACACACCGCCCGUCGCUCCUACCGAUUGGACAAUCCGGUGAAAUUCUCGGAGGGCGGCCAGCUGGAGUUUACUCCCCUGGUUGCCCAAAGUUACUUAAACCUUAUUGUCUAGAGGAAGGAGAAGUCGUANCA
rnacentral:rRNA from 1 species